AUUAAUGCCCUAUAGUAUCUUUUUAAGGCAUCUUAUUAAGAUUAAAGGUUACGGUAUGAGAUGAGUAUGCGUUCUAUUAGCUAGUAGAUGUGGUAACGGCACACCUAGGCUACGAUAGAUAGGGGCCCUGAGAGGGGGAUCCCCCACACUGGUACUGAGACAGGACCAGACUCCUACGGGAGGCAGCAGUAAGGAAUAUUGGUCAAUGGACGAAAGUCUGAACCAGCCAUGCCGCGUGCAGGAUGACUGCCCUAUGGGUUGUAAACUGCUUUUAUAUAGGAAGAAAACUUUCUCGUGAGAAGCUUGACGGUACUAUAAUAAUAA
rnacentral:rRNA from 1 species